CUGGAACGCGCCCCAGGCGCACCCAGAAACCCUUUGUGAACUUAUACCUUACUGUUGCCUCGGCGCUAGCUGGUCCUCCGGGGCCCCUCACCCCCGGGUGUUGAGACAGCCCGCCGGCGGCCAACCCAACUCUUGUUUUUACACUGAAACUCUGAGAAUAAAACAUAAAUGAAUCAAAACUUUCAACAACGGAUCUCUUGGUUCUGGCAUCGAUGAAGAACGCAGCGAAAUGCGAUAAGUAAUGUGAAUUGCAGAAUUCAGUGAAUCAUCGAAUCUUUGAACGCACAUUGCGCCCUCUGGUAUUCCGGAGGGCAUGCCUGUUCGAGCGUCAUUUCAACCCUCAAGCCUGGCUUGGUGAUGGGGCACUGCUUCUUACCCAAGAAGCAGGCCCUGAAAUUCAGUGGCGAGCUCGCCAGGACCCCGAGCGCAGUAGUUAAACCCUCGCUCUGGAAGGCCCUGGCGGUGCCCUGCCGUUAAACCCCCAACUUCUGAAAAU
rnacentral:rRNA from 1 species